rnacentral:rRNA from 1 species
AUUGAACGCUGGCGGCAGGCCUAACACAUGCAAGUCGAACGAGUGGCGGACGGGUGCGUAAUGUCUGGGAAACUGCCUGAUGGCGGGGGAUAACUACUGGAAACGGUAGCUAAUACCGCAUACAAUCAGAUGAGCCCAGAUGGGAUUAGCUAGUAGGUGGGGUAAAGGCUCACCAAGGCGACGAUCCCUAGCUGGUCUGAGAGGAUGACCAGCCACAGUGGAACUGAGACACGGUACAGACUCCGACGGUGGGCAGCAGUGGGGAAUAUUGCACAAUGGGCGCAAGCCUGAUGCAGCCAUGCCGCGUGUAUGAAGAGGGCCUUGGGGUUGUAAAGUACUUUCAGCGGGGAGGCGUUACCCGCAGAAGAAGCACCGGCUAACUCCGUGCCAGCAGCCGCGGUAAUUC